GAGUUUGAUCCUGGCUCAGGAUGAACGCUGGCGGCGUACCUAACGCAUGCAAGUCGAACGGGGAUUGAAUAGCAAUAUUUGAUUCUAGUGGCAAACGGGUGAGUAACACGUAGGGAUCUACCUCGAAGUGGGGAACAACGGACCGAAAGGUUCGCUAAUACCGCAUGUGGUCGUGAGACCAAAGGAUUCGAAAGGAUUCGCUUUGAGAGGAGCCUGCGUUCGAUCAGGUAGUUGGUGAGGUAACGGCUCACCAAGCCGAUGACCGAUAGCUGUUCUGAGAGGAAGAUCAGCCACACUGGGACUGUGACACGGCCCAGACUCCUACGGGAGGCAGCAGCGAGGAAUAUUGCACAAUGGACGCAAGUCUGAUGCAGUAACGCCGCGUGGGGGAAGAAGACCUUCGGGUUGUAAACCUCUUUUAUAUAGGACGAGUGAGGACGGUACUAUAGGAAUAAGUCUCGGCUAACUACGUGCCAGCAGCCGCGGUAAGACGUAGGAGGCGAGCGUUAUCCGGAUUCACUGGGCGUAAAGCGCAUGUAGGCGGUUCGAUAAGUCCGCUGUUAAAGCCCCCGGCUCAACUGGGGGAGGUCAGUGGAGACUAUAGGACUUGAGGGCAACAGAGGCACGUGGAACUCCCGGUGUAGCGGUGGAAUGCGUAGAGAUCGGGAAGAACACCAGUGGCGAAGGCGACGUGCUGGGUUGCGACUGACGCUGAGAUGCGAAAGUGUGGGGAGCAAACGGGAUUAGAUACCCCGGUAGUCCACACUGUAAACGAUGAACCCUAGGUGUGGGGCGGUAAAACGCUCCGUGCCGAAGCCAACGCGUUAAGGGUUCCGCCUGGGGACUAUGAGCGCAAGCUUAAAACUCAAAGGAAUUGACGGGGGCCCGCACAAGCAGCGGAGCGUGCGGUUCAAUUCGAUGCGACACGAAGAACCUUACCAGGGUUUGACAUGCAGGUGG
rnacentral:rRNA from 1 species